AUCCGGCUGACGAGUCUCAAAUAGGAUGAAACGCGCGUCCUGAAU
rnacentral:hammerhead_ribozyme from 1 species